rnacentral:rRNA from 1 species
AUUGAACGCUGGCGGCAGGCCUAACACAUGCAAGUCGAGCGCGCGGCGGACGGGUGAGUAAUGUCUGGGACACUGCCUGAUGGAGGGGUAUAACUACUGGAAACGGUAGCUAAUCCCGCAUACCAUCAGAUGUGCCAAGAUGGGAUUAGCUAGUAGGUGGGGUAAUGGCUCACCUAGGCGACGAUCCCUAGCUGGUCUGAGGGGAGGACAAUCCAAACUGGAACGGAGACACGGUCCAGACUCCGACGGGAGGAAGCAGGGGGGAAUAUUGCACAAUGGGCGCAAGCCUGAUGCAGCCAUGCCGCGUGUGUGAAGAAGGCCUUCGGGUUGUAAAGCACUUUCAGCGAGGAGGCGUUACUCGCAGAAGAAGCACCGGCUAACUCCGUGCCAGCAGCCGCGGUAAUUC